GGGUUCGAUUAUGGCUCAGAAUGAACGCUGGCGGCGUGCUUAACACAUGCAAGUCGGAUGUGCCGCAAGGUGCAUGGCAGACGGGUGAGUAACGCGUAGGGAACCUACCUCUUUGUGGGGAAUAACGUUCCGAAAGGAAUGGUAAUACCGCAUGAGAUCAGUGACUGGAAUGUUGCUGAUGAAAGCCGGGGAUCGAAAGACCUGGCGCAAGGAGAGGGUCCUGCGUCUGAUUAGCUAGUUGGUGGGGUAACGGCCUACCAAGGCGACGAUCAGUAGCCGGCCUGAGAGGGUGAUCGGCCACACUGGAACUGAGACACGGUCCAGACUCCUACGGGAGGCAGCAGUGGGGAAUUUUGCGCAAUGGACGAAAGUCUGACGCAGCAACGCCGCGUGGGUGAUGAAGGUCUUCGGAUUGUAAAACCCUGUCGUCAGGGACGAAGGUAGGGAACCUAAUAAGUUUUCUGCUUGACGGUACCUGGAGAGGAAGCCCCGGCUAACUCUGUGCCAGCAGCCGCGGUAAUACAGAGGGGGCAAGCGUUAUUCGGAAUUAUUGGGCGUAAAGGGCGCGUAGGCGGUUUUGUAAGUAGGAUGUGUAAUCCCCGAGCUCAA
rnacentral:rRNA from 1 species